GAUGAACGCUGGCGGCGUGCCUAAUACAUGCAAGUCGAGCGAACAGACGAGGAGCUUGCUCCUCUGACGUUAGCGGCGGACGGGUGAGUAACACGUGGAUAACCUACCUAUAAGACUGGGAUAACUUCGGGAAACCGGAGCUAAUACCGGAUAAUAUAUUGAACCGCAUGGUUCAAUAGUGAAAGACGGUUUUGCUGUCACUUAUAGAUGGAUCCGCGCCGCAUUAGCUAGUUGGUAAGGUAACGGCUUACCAAGGCGACGAUGCGUAGCCGACCUGAGAGGGUGAUCGGCCCCGCGGGAAGAGAGAAACGGUCCAGGCCCCUAAGGGGGAGCACGAGGGGGAAUCUUCCGCAAUGGGCGAAAGCCUGACGGAGAAACCCCGCGUGGGUGGUAAAGGGCUUCGAUAUGGAAAGCUCUGUUUUGAGGGAAAAAAAAAUGUGUAAGUAAUUAAGCACGUUUAGACUGGACCAAAUCAGAAACCCCCGCCCAAUUACCU
rnacentral:rRNA from 1 species